rnacentral:rRNA from 1 species
GAUGAACGCUGGCGGCGUGCCUAAUACAUGCAAGUCGAGCGAACGGACGAGAAGCUUGCUUCUCUGAUGUUAGCGGCGGACGGGUGAGUAACACGUGGAUAACCUACCUAUAAGACUGGGAUAACUUCGGGAAACCGGAGCUAAUACCGGAUAAUAUUUUGAACCGCAUGGUUCAAAAGUGAAAGACGGUCUUGCUGUCACUUAUAGAUGGAUCCGCGCUGCAUUAGCUAGUUGGUAAGGUAACGGCUUACCAAGGCAACGAUGCAUAGCCGACCUGAGAGGGUGAUCGGCCACACUGGAACUGAGACACGGUCCAGACUCCUACGGGAGGCAGCAGUAGGGAAUCUUCCGCAAUGGGCGAAAGCCUGACGGAGCAACGCCGCGCGAGUGAUGAAGGUCUUCGGAUCGUAAAACCCUGUUAUUAGGGAAGAACAUAUGUGUAAGUAACUGUGCACAUCUUGACGGUACCUAAUCAGAAAGCCACGGCUAACUACGUGC